UUUUUUACCACAAAUAUGUUCGGGGGGGGAGGUGGGAGAAGCGCAAACCCGCUUUCUUUGAAAUCCAGUCAAAAACUAUAUGAGUUGUUGUUUUCUUUUGGCAUUUUUCAAGGGUGAAAGAGGCCUCCCGGGCCCUGCUGGGUUGACUGGAGAAACUGGAGUAGGACUGCCAGGCCCGAAGGGUGACGUUGGUUUCACAGGGCGACCGGGCCCUGUUGGCCCACCAGGAGUUGGAGAACCAGGUUUACCAGGACCUCAAGGACCACAAGGAAUUCAGGGAGAAAGGGGACCUCCGGGAGAAGGCCUUCCAGGACCUAAGGUACAAAGUACAGCUGCGCAAAUUGACUUUGUAUUACAACUCCCCAAAAAUUCCCCCGGCAGCAUGGGAAUUUUGGGA
rnacentral:lncRNA from 1 species